rnacentral:snRNA from 1 species
GUGCUCACUUCGGCAGCACAUAUACUAAAAUUGGAACGAUGCAGAGAAGAUGUGUGUCCUCCCUGCCCAGGCAGGACACACAAACACGUGAGGCUUUCCAUAUUAAA